GGGAAGGUUAUAAAUAAUCGCAUCUGCACCCAACCCCAAACCCUAGUUGCCAGAACCCUCGCCGGAGAAGACGACCCAGCCACCGGAGGAACCGGCAGCCGCCACCUGCCGCCGCACCGAAGGAUUUUCUAGUCGCCAAACGAGAUAAAAUUUCUCCCAUUGGCUCGUUUUUCGAUGCUGAACCUCCAUGUGGUCAAAUCGGAGCCAAACCACCGCCCAAUUGGUCGAAAAACAUCGCCGAAAUCCAGUUGUGCCGUCGCGGGUUUUCUCAAUUUUUGUCUCCGAU
rnacentral:lncRNA from 1 species